AAGCCCCAAGGAUGUGGGAGUCUCAGGAUGAGACCGGUGUACUAGGAUGGUAUAUCGAACAUGGACUGUGAAGGGAUAGCCGAGGAACGGCUCAGUGGUAAACAGGAAGUUUGCACGUCAGGAUGACACAUGGACCACUUCAGGAUGAAGUCAGGGACACCGCCAGGAAGGUCGAAGAGAGUCAGGACAGGAUGUACUGACGGGUCAGGAAGGCCAAUGGAACACUUCAGGAUGAAGUAAAAAAGGACGAUGCUGAAGGAAUCAGCUGUCAACGGAAUGAUGCAGGGAGCACCAUCGUAGCGGGAUUGCUGCAUGUAAGACCUAAGGGCGCAACGCAAGUUGCGCCCGCUCUUUUAUGG
rnacentral:other from 1 species